AGUGAACGCUGGCGGUAGGCCUAACACAUGCAAGUCGAACGGCAGCACAGUAAGAGCUUGCUCUUACGGGUGGCGAGUGGCGGACGGGUGAGGAAUACAUCGGAAUCUACUUUUUCGUGGGGGAUAACGUAGGGAAACUUACGCUAAUACCGCAUACGACCUACGGGUGAAAGCAGGGGAUCUUCGGACCUUGCGCGAUUGAAUGAGCCGAUGUCGGGUUAGCUAGUUGGCGGGGUAAAGGCCCACCAAGGCGACGAUCCGUAGCUGGUCUGAGAGGAUGAUCACCCACACUGGAACUGAGACACGGUCCAGACUCCUACGGGAGGCAGCAGUGGGGAAUAUUGGACAAUGGGCGCAAGCCUGAUCCAGCCAUACCGCGUGGGUGAAGAAGGCCUUCGGGUUGUAAAGCCCUUUUGUUGGGAAAGAAAAGCAGCAGGUUAAUACCCCGCUGUUCUGACGGUACCCAAAGAAUAAGCACCGGCUAACUUCGUG
rnacentral:rRNA from 1 species